rnacentral:rRNA from 1 species
AAUCAACGCUGGCGGCGUGCCUCAGACAUGCAAGUCGAACGAUUAAAGCUCUCUUCGGAGAGUGUAUAAAGUGGCGCACGGGUGAGUAACACGUAAGUAAUCUACCUUCGAGUGGGGAAUAACGUCCGGAAACGGACGCUAAUACCGCAUAAUGCACCGGCAUCGCAAGAUGACAGUUGUUAAAGAUUUAUCGCUUGAAGAGGAGCUUGCGGCAGAUUAGCUAGUUGGUAAGGUAAUGGCUUACCAAGGCUACGAUCUGUAACCGGUCUAAGAGGACGGUCGGUCACACUGACACUGAAUAACGGGUCAGACUCCUACGGGAGGCAGCAGUCGGGAAUUUGGGUCAAUGGGCGAAAGCCUGACCCAGCAACGCCGCGUGAAGGAUGAAGUAUUUCGGUAUGU